UAGGGAAUCUUCGGCAAUGGGGGGAACCCUGACCGAGCAACGCCGCGUGAGUGAAGGAGGUUUUCGGAUCGUAAAGCUCUGUUGUUAAGGAAGAACGAGUGUGAGAAUGGAAAGUUCAUGCUGUGACGGUACUUAACCAGAAAGGGACGGCUAACUACGUGCCAGCAGCCGCGGUAAUACGUAGGUCCCGAGCGUUGUCCGGAUUUAUUGGGCGUAAAGCGAGCGCAGGCGGUUAGAAAAGUCUGAAGUGAAAGGCAGUGGCUCAACCAUUGUAGGCUUUGGAAACUGUUUAACUUGAGUGCAGAAGGGGAGAGUGGAAUUCCAUGUGUAGCGGUGAAAUGCGUAGAUAUAUGGAGGAACACCGGUGGCGAAAGCGGCUCUCUGGUCUGUAACUGACGCUGAGGCUCGAAAGCGUGGGGAGCGAACAGG
rnacentral:rRNA from 1 species